rnacentral:lncRNA from 13 species
UGUUAGUUCAUUCUUGCACUGCUAUAAAGAAAUACCUGAGACUGGAUAAUUUAUAAAGAAAAGAGGUUUAAUUGGCUCAUUGUUUUACAGGCUGUACAGGAAGCACAGCAGCUUCUGCUUCUGGGAGGCUUCAGGAAACUUACAAUUAUGAUGGAAGGUGAAGAGGAAGCAGGCAUGUCUUACAUGGCUGGAGCAGGAGCAACAGAGAGGAGGAGGGGAGGUGCUACACACUUUUAAAUGACAAGAUCUCGUGAGAACUCACUCGCUAUACAGCACCAACGGGUGCAGUGCUAAACCAUUCAUGAGAACUCUGCCUCCAGGAUCCAGUCACCUCCCAACAGGCCCUACCUCCAACAUUGAAGAUUACCAUUGGACAUGUGAUUUGUGUGAGGAAGCAGAUCCAAACUAUAUCAAUCCUCAAAACAACCUUAUGAGGGUAAGACUGCAGAUCAAGCUUUUCCAAUGUGGUGCUGACGUUUUGAGAACAGUUAGUGAGAAAUAGGAAAGUCCUUGAAGACCAUCUAACUCAGUGGCUUUCAAAUGGAAAGCAUGGAAAGACAACAGAAUUACAGGGAGUCUUCUUCAAACUGGGAUGCCAUAUUCUGUACAACUUCAUGUGAAGGUGUGGAGGAUGGGUAAUGUCUGAAUCUUCCAGACAAUGGGAGGGAUGGUGUGAGUUUGGAAAUUAUUCAUGAUGGUUCUGAGGCUCCCUUUAUUCCAGUUAAGAACACUGACUUAAUUCGAUCUGUUUUAUAAUACAUGGCCUCUGAGACAUAGAGCAGUGAGGAUAAGGACUCUUAGUUACAGAGCAGAGUCAGGGCUAGAACUCAAGCCUUAAAAAUUUCAAAAACAAUGUUCUUUCUAUGAUACUGUGCCUUGCUUCUGCACUUCUGGGUAUAGGCAACUUCCUUUUUCUUUAAUUCUCUACUAUUUGGAGGGAACAUCACAACUUAUACAAUUGCUUUGUAUUGUUUUACAUUACUUCCAUGGUUUCUUAUACAUAAAUAUAGUAUUUUCUUGUAUUUUAAAUUUUCUAAGAACAGGUAACACAUUUUAAACUUCCUUUGCAUAUCUGCAGGUAACUAGUACAUUGAUGAUAAGCUGAUAUUAAGAGAGCUAAAUAGUUGAUUAGUUUAUUAAUAUCUCAAAAUGUUAAUACAUUUUUAUUUUAUUUAUUAAUAAAAAUUUUAUUUAUUAAUGAAAUAAAUAAUAG